AUACAUGCAAGUCGAACGAACUCUGGUAUUGAUUGGUGCUUGCAUCAUGAUUUACAUUUGAGUGAGUGGCGAACUGGUGAGUAACACGUGGGAAACCUGCCCAGAAGCGGGGGAUAACACCUGGAAACAGAUGCUAAUACCGCAUAACAACUUGGACCGCAUGGUCCGAGCUUGAAAGAUGGCUUCGGCUAUCACUUUUGGAUGGUCCCGCGGCGUAUUAGCUAGAUGGUGGGGUAACGGCUCACCAUGGCAAUGAUACGUAGCCGACCUGAGAGGGUAAUCGGCCACAUUGGGACUGAGACACGGCCCAAACUCCUACGGGAGGCAGCAGUAGGGAAUCUUCCACAAUGGACGAAAGUCUGAUGGAGCAACGCCGCGUGAGUGAAGAAGGGUUUCGGCUCGUAAAACUCUGUUGUUAAAGAAGAACAUAUCUGAGAGUAACUGUUCAGGUAUUGACGGUAUUUAACCAGAAAGCCACGGCUAACUACGUGCCAGCAGCCGCGGUAAUACGUAGGUGGCAAGCGUUGUCCGGAUUUAUUGGGCGUAAAGCGAGCGCAGGCGGUUUUUUAAGUCUGAUGUGAAAGCCUUCGGCUCAACCGAAGAAGUGCAUCGGAAACUGGGAAACUUGAGUGCAGAAGAGGACAGUGGAACUCCAUGUGUAGCGGUGAAAUGCGUAGAUAUAUGGAAGAACACCAGUGGCGAAGGCGGCUGUCUGGUCUGUAACUGACGCUGAGGCUCGAAAGUAUGGGUAGCAAACAGGAUUAGAUACCCUGGUAGUCCAUACCGUAAACGAUGAAUGCUAAGUGUUGGAGGGUUUCCGCCCUUCAGUGCUGCAGCUAACGCAUUAAGCAUUCCGCCUGGGGAGUACGGCCGCAAGGCUGAAACUCAAAGGAAUUGACGGGGGCCCGCACAAGCGGUGGAGCAUGUGGUUUAAUUCGAAGCUACGCGAAGAACCUUACCAGGUCUUGACAUACUAUGCAAAUCUAAGAGAUUAGACGUUCCCUUCGGGGACAUGGAUACAGGUGGUGCAUGGUUGUCGUCAGCUCGUGUCGUGAGAUGUUGGGUUAAGUCCCGCAACGAGCGCAACCCUUAUUAUCAGUUGCCAGCAUUAAGUUGGGCACUCUGGUGAGACUGCCGGUGACAAACCGGAGGAAGGUGGGGAUGACGUCAAAUCAUCAUGCCCCUUAUGACCUGGGCUACACACGUGCUACAAUGGAUGGUACAACGAGUUGCGAACUCGCGAGAGUAAGCUAAUCUCUUAAAGCCAUUCUCAGUUCGGAUUGUAGGCUGCAACUCGCCUACAUGAAGUCGGAAUCGCUAGUAAUCGCGGAUCAGCAUGCCGCGGUGAAUACGUUCCCGGGCCUUGUACACACCGCCCGUCACACCAUGAGAGUUUGUAACACCCAAAGUCGGUGGGGUAACCUUUUAGGAACCAGCCGCCUA
rnacentral:rRNA from 1 species